CAGAGAGAGAGAUAGAGAGAGAGAAGGGGAAAGAGGAGAGAGAAGGAGAAAAUAUUUUUCUUUCCUCUUUCUUUUCCGUUUUUUUUUUUUCUUUU
rnacentral:ribozyme from 1 species